UAGUGUUCUGGAUUGAGUAUCUCAGUUACCAGCCUGAAAUCUCCAUCGAACAACACCGCUUUCUCUCAAACGACUCCUAAUAUGAAAGUGGACAGACAGUGGAAUGCAGAAAGAUUAGAGCUGAUCUUGGGGACCGGUCAACGGUCUACUGGCCAAAUCGCCUACCAGAGGAAUGAUGAUGAUGAAGAAGAGGCAGCCCGGGAACGGCGCCGCCGAGCCCGACAGGAACGGCUGCGGCAGAAGCAGGAGGAAGAAUCCUUGGGACAGGUGACCGACCAGGUGGAGGUGAAUGCCCAGAACAGUGUGCCUGACGAGGAGGCCAAGACAACCACCACAAACACUCAAGUGGAAGGGGAUGAUGAGGCCGCAUUCCUGGAGCGCCUGGCUCGGCGAGAGGAAAGACGCCAAAAACGCCUUCAGGAGGCUCUGGAGCGGCAGAAGGAGUUCGAUCCAACAAUAACAGAUUCAAGUCUGUCGCUCCCAAACAGAAGAAUGCAAAAUGACACAGCAGAAAACGAAACUGCCGAGAAGGAAGAAAAAAGUGAAAGUUGCCAAGA
rnacentral:sRNA from 1 species